UUUGAGAUACACAAAAUCAUCAAGCUAAAAAGUCAUGUCACAAUGCUUGCUAUCGUAGUAGCUCUUCUGACGGGACUAAGCUGCUUUGAGACUAUCGUGAAUGACAUGACACAUUUCUUCUACUUCAGCAAUCAUGUCAUUACCAAGAAUCUGACGCUCACUAGUCUCUGACCAAUUGAGCAGGGUACGACACUUCCUGCCAUAUAAAAUCUCGAAUGGAGCCUUGCGUGAGC
rnacentral:lncRNA from 1 species